rnacentral:rRNA from 1 species
CCUACGGGAGGCAGCAGUGAGGAAUAUUGGUCAAUGGGCGCGAGCCUGAACCAGCCAAGUCGCGUGAGGGAGGACGGCCCUACGGGUUGUAAACCUCUUUUGCCGGGGAGCAACGGGCGUCACGUGUGGCGCCACUGAGAGUACCAGGAGAAAAAGCAUCGGCUAACUCCGUGCCAGCAGCCGCGGUAAUACGGAGGAUGCGAGCGUUAUCCGGAUUUAUUGGGUUUAAAGGGUGCGUGGGGGGAUCGUUAAGUCAGUGGUCAAAUUGGGGGGCCCAACCCCUUCCCGCCAUUGAAAUUGGCGUUCUUGGGUGAAGAGAAGUAUGCGGAAUGCGUGGUGUAGCGGUGAAAUGCAUAGAUAUCACGCAGAACCCCGAUUGCGAAGGCAGCAUGCCGGCUUCCGACUGACGCUGAAGCACGAAAGCGUGGGGAUCGAACAGGAUUAGAUACCCUUGUAGUC